CUCUCUAGUUGGGGUGCCUGUGAAACCGGCAGGCUCUCUCCAAAUGCCUGGAUUCUGCUGGGGGAGUAAGAAGUCAGGAGUAGUUUGUCUGAUGGUAUUGGGAUCUGCUUUGCAAUUGCCAAGCGCUAAGGCACAAGCUGGCAGAUGUGCUGCGGCUCUGCUACGGGCGGCUCUGUCGCCUUCAGUCGCAGGCUGGUUCUUUGGGGGAAAGUUGUAUCCAAUAUUGGUGACUCCCGGGAAUAGUCUGUUUGUGUGCUACUUAAUGGUCUCUAGGCUUCCUUGUCUUGUAGAACCUUGUUAGAAAGGAGCCUUGGUGAUUAAGAGGCUAUGGAGUACACAGCCUUGCUUAGCAGAUGAGCCCUUAUCCAUUUCCCGUUUCCUUAAAAACGGCUAAUUGAUGGAUGCUGCAGAAAACAUGCACUCUGCUAAUAAGAUGCUGAUGACAAAAUAGGUAUCAGGAAAGGCAUUUACUGCUUAUGAGCACCAUCAGCUUUCUUUCGAGUGAGAUUGUGGCUUUGUAGUAAAGUUUUUUUUUAAGUAAUAUGCUAAUAGUUUUAUUCUAAAUCGGCCAGCGCUGAAUAUCUUCAGGAAAAUGGGUUCCAUGAGAAGUGACAUCCUCCUCGAAUCAAAAGAUUCUCAGGAUGAUGGAGUGAGUGAUGGAAUAGGUUGCCAACUGUAGUUACUCCACUCAGCACAGAAUGGCUGCGGGGAAAUAUAAUCAGACAUGCCCAAAGAAGUCUGCUUAGGGUGAAACAAAUACCUUUGAGGUUUAAAUCAGAAAGGAAGGAGAGACUGUUUCUACAGGUGUCAUACAAAAAUCAAUACUGAGCCAAGGAUUAUUGGAUCCCAUAGAACCACGGAGACUUGGUAGUGAAAUUCUUCCAAAGCAUUCCAUCCGUGCAGGCAGAUGGUGUUCCUAGGUUUGGAAAUAUAAAUCCCAUGGGAAGUCAGCUGAAGACCAUUUUAUGCAUCACUCAUCCUGUUAGAGCCCUGUGCUGUUCUGUCUCUCUAUAAGACUGGCUGAAACCACCACGGUUGUUUACAAUUUAUGCUCUAACUUUGGAUCACCUAGUUAAUACUCUAACUCCGAUUAUUACCAAAGACAAUGUUCUAUAAAAGAUAUUGUCUAUUAGAAGGAUGCUUCUGCAUUAUUAAUAAAAUCACAGGGAAAAUGCAACAUUUUGGAUGUCACAUCUGAUAAGUUGGCAGUUAAAGAACAGAAACAGCAAUAAGACUGCGUGGCUACAUUUUCCCAGUGCCACCAACUGGGAUUUAAGCUGACUAACAUUUUGAAAGCCCAGCCCAUUUCAUUCACAGCAGGAUGGCAGUGGGUGACUGAUCGUACCCGCCAGCUGGCUAAUGUCAUAAUUAACAAAGUUGCUACUACAUCUGCAAAGUUUAAUCGAAAAAUUUGCCAGUGAUAUGAUGGCCUUGUCACAGAGAUCACAAGGGACACGGAGUUGACUUUUGCUCAAGGUGGAACGACAGAGCUGUGUAGGCAAGAUGAGAAAUUGCGAACUUGUUCGGCCAAAGGAGGCUAAUAAUGAAGGGGCCGGGAAGGAGGCCAGUGCUACCAGGGUUAUCUCACAACCUCAGAUGCUGGAUAAGUCGACGGAGGCAGAAUCGCUUUGGGAUGACAUUCAGAAAGCCUGGAGUGAUUACUUGCAAGAGAAAAGCCUACCUAUUCUUUCCAAGGUGCAGGAAUAUUCCCCUGACCUGCUCAUCCAGUGGUCCAGUAAUGAAUUACUGGAGACCUGCCUUAGACAAAGAAUGCACUCGGAGCCCCAACACACCUAAAGCCAUGCUUUGAAGGAUCUGCCAAGCUCACUUUUAAUCAUGAGAAAGAAAUUACCCACACGGAGUCAGCAGAAAAUGAGAAAGUAGAGCUCGUGCUGUGAAUAAUUCCAGCAAGUGCCAAGGGGCUAGUUGAGGAAUGGCUUCAUGAGAACAUGCUCUAGGGGAACUAUUAAUAGCCCACCAGUCGGGUAGGCAGCAUUCAAUCCUUCUAUGCCUUCUUUCGCCACCUGUUGAGGUCUUUCUUCUGAAACAAAGAAGAAAUAGACAAAUCAGACUUGCCCUCUUGGAAAUGUGGUCCAGAUUUCUCUACUCCCAAGCUCCAAAAAAGGUAUACAUUGGAUGGGCUAGAUCAACUCCUCCUGAGAGCCAUAAAUCCGCCAAGAGUUGUUUUCCAUGUAAGGGUGUGGUACAAUGGGGAACACCUGAUGUUGGAGGAAAGCAGGAGGACUUUAGAGUGGAGUUGCAUUCUAAUCUCUCUGCCGCUUCAACUAUGUGACCUGGGGCAAAUGAUAUAAACUCUAUGAGCCUCUUUCCUUAUCUUUAAAAUGAAGAGAAGUAAUACCUACCUUGUAGGGCUGUUGUGAGGAUUAAAUGAAGUAAUGCAUACAGUGCCUAACAAAGUAUUUAACAUCAUAUUUUUUAAAAGCUCAUGAAAUAUUAGUUUUUCUUCCUUCCCCUCUUUCUAUUUUCUCUCCUGUUCCCUUUUCUCUCCCUCCUCUGCCCUCUCCUUCCUUCAGAUGUUAGUCUAAAACAGCACCUUGGAUCUAAGCAGCACCUUUGAGAAAGAAAAGACUGCUUCAAGAAUGUCUAGUUGCACCUCCUUUCCGUAUGUGGCCUAAAUGCCUAGGUUGGAUCAAUAGUUUAAUUUUUUUAUUGAACUGUUUAAUAUUGACUAUGGACUUACAUUCACUUUUACUGUUUUCUGUAUAUUUACUUUUGCUUGAAGUGUUUUAAUAUUGACUAUUUACCUCUGCUCAUUUUUAUUGAUUUUCUGUAUUUUUUCAAUGAAAAUUAUAAUAAAAAUUAUUUUUGUUAUC
rnacentral:lncRNA from 1 species